GGGCCCGUGGUCUAGAGUGGGAGCCACAGUCCGAGUGACUUUCACGGGAAUCUAGGAUUAAGACGCUGGCCUGCGGAGCCGGAGACCCGGGGUUCAAAUCCCCGCGGGCCCGCCA
rnacentral:tRNA from 1 species